CUUCAGAGCUAUGUCCUCAGACUUUCUUUAGUUCACUGCUGUCCUGAAGUGUUCCUUCCUCCAAAGCCUUCAUUUGAGGGGCUCAGGAGAAUUCCUACCAGACAGAGAAUAGUAUGAGCAAAUGUGAAGACAAGUGUGGUCCACGGACAUGGAUUUAUUCAUGCAGCACAUGGUGAAUGCAUGCUCACCGUGUCCCAAGCCCGGGAUAGCAUGUGAAGAUAAAGAAGACCUGGACCCUGUCACAGGCUUACGUGGCAGACAAACACAGAGGCAAUUAUAACACCGUGUGCGCAGAACGACGAUGAAGACAUGUGGAAGUGGGAUUUCUGGCUUGGGCGAUUGGAUGCUGACACCAUCAUUCACCAAGACAGAAAAUGCAGGUUCUGGGGGAAAAGAUACAUUAAAUUUGGG